rnacentral:rRNA from 1 species
UACGAAGGGUGCGAGCGUUAAUCGGAAUUACUGGGCGUAAAGAGCACGUAGGCGGUUUGAUAAGCGGAAUGUGAAAGCCCCGGGCUUAACCUGGGAACUGCAUCCCGAACUGUCAGGCUAGAGUAUGAUAGAGGUGAGCGGAAUUUCCUGUGUAGCGGUGAAAUGCGUAGAUAUAGGAAGGAACAUCAGUUGCGAAGGCGGCUCACUGGAUCAAUACUGACGCUGAGGUGCGAAAGCGUGGGUAGCGAACAGGAUUAGAACCUACCGUAGUACCGUCCGU